GGGGCGGUGGUGUAACGGUAGCAUCUUGGUCUCCAAAACCAAGGGUCUAGGUUCAAAUCCUAGUCGCUCUGCCA
rnacentral:tRNA from 1 species